UAAGGUAGAGGCGCAGGGAACAGGAGUACGCCGCCGGACUGCAGGCAAACGCCGCGGCUGAAAGGGGACCCUGCCGAAGGAAUGCGGGCGGCCUGAACCCGUAUUUUCUGGGGCGCGGGAGAAAAUUUCGCGCACUGUCACAUGGUUUCCUGUGGAGCGCUAUCU
rnacentral:ncRNA from 1 species